rnacentral:tRNA from 1 species
GUGCCCGGUUUGCAGAGUUCUUCUUUGUUUUCAGCGGCCUGCCCCAAUCUACGAAUCUGGGGGUCAGAGGUUCGAAUCCUUUCGGGCGCGCCA